GUGCCAGCAGCCGCGGUAAUACGAGUGGUGCAAGCGUUAUUCGGAAUUAUUGGGCGUAAAGGGUGUGCAGACGGUUUGUUAAGUCACUUGUUAAAUUCUCCGGCUUAACCGGAGGCCAGCAUGUGAAACUAGCAGACUAGAGGGUGAGAGAGAGAAGUGGAAUUCUCGGAGUAGCGGUAAAAUGCGUAGAUCUCGAGAGGAACACCAAUGGCGAAGGCAGCUUCUUGGCUCACUCCUGACGUUCAUACACGAAAGCGUGGGGAGCAAACAGGAUUAGAUACCCUGGUAGUCC
rnacentral:rRNA from 1 species